UACGGGGGGGGCAAGCGUUGUUCGGAAUUACUGGGCGUAAAGGGCUCGUAGGCGGCCAACUAAGUCAGACGUGAAAUCCCUCGGCUUAACCGGGGAACUGCAUCUGAUACUGGAUGGCUUGAGAUUGGGAGAGGGAUGCGGAAUUCCAGGUGUAGCGGUGAAAUGCGUAGACAUCUGGAGGAACACCGGUGGCGAAGGCGGCAUCCUGGACCAACACUGACGCUGAGGAGCGAAAGCCAGGGGAGCAAACGGG
rnacentral:rRNA from 1 species